rnacentral:rRNA from 1 species
GCAUAUCAAUAAGCGGAGGAAAAGAAACCAACAGGGAUUGCCCCAGUAACGGCGAGUGAAGCGGCAACAGCUCAAAUUUGAAAUCUGGCCCCAGGCCCGAGUUGUAAUUUGCAGAGGAUGCUUUUGGCGCGGUGCCUUCCGAGUUCCCUGGAACGGGACGCCAUAGAGGGUGAGAGCCCCGUACGGUUGGACACCAAGCCUUUGUAAAGCUCCUUCGACGAGUCGAGUAGUUUGGGAAUGCUGCUCAAAAUGGGAGGUAUAUUUCUUCUAAAGCUAAAUAUUGGCCAGAGACCGAUAGCGCACAAGUAGAGUGAUCGAAAGAUGAAAAGCACUUUGAAAAGAGGGUUAAACAGCACGUGAAAUUGUUGAAAGGGAAGCGCUUGUGACCAGACUUGCGCCCGGUGAAUCACCCAGCUCUCGCGGCUGGGGCACUUUGCCGGCACAGGCCAGCAUCAGCUUGCCGUCGGGGACAAAAGCUUCGGGAACGUAGCUCUCUUCGGGGAGUGUUAUAGCCCGUUGCAUAAUACCCUUCGGCGGGCUGAGGUACGCGCUCCGCAAGGAUGCUGGCGUAAUGGUCAUCAGCGACCCGUCUUGAAACACGGACCAAGGAGUCAACCUUAUGUGCGAGUGUUUGGGUGUUAAACCCCUACGCGUAAUGAAAGUGAACGCAGGUGAGAGCUUCGGCGCAUCAUCGACCGAUCCUGAUGUUCUCGGAUGGAUUUGAGUAAGAGCAUAUAGGGUUGGACCCGAAAGAAGGUGAACUAUGCGUGUAUAGGGUGAAGCCAGAGGAAACUCUGGUGGAGGCUCGCAGCGGUUCUGACGUGCAAAUCGAUCGUCAAAUAUGCGCAUGGGGGCGAAAGACUAAUCGAACCUUCUAGUAGCUGGUUUCCGCCGAA